AUAUAGUAAGGUAAUGUGAAAUGCUGAUGGAGAUGAAAAAUUCGAUGUUUUUGGGAUAAUUUGGACGUUUCUAUUGAAGGGGUCAAAAUGACCACACGUCUGUUGCUGCGUGACAAUAUUUUCACGUCUGUGGUUAAGGGUUAAUCAUAAUUUUUUUAUAUUGAUAUUUAUUAUAUGUUUUUUUUCCAUAUGUGCUUGCAUAUUUGAUGAUAAAAGGUAAUAUAAUAAACCCAUGUAUAAAAUUUGUAGUACUUUUUUAAACCGUUUGAGUAUAGAGGAAGAUGUAUACUUUUGGAACGUGAGGCUGAAUUUGUCCUUUGAUAGGAAAAAUAUGGCACUUUUAUUCCCAAUAACACUCACUAUUUCAUUUCCUCAGUCUAUUUCUAAAAAUAUUUCGGCUUUUUUUUCUGAAGAUGAAAGAUAUAAAAUUUUAAAAAUUUCAUAAAUUUUGAAUUUCCUAAAGCUCAGUUACACUUGUUGCUACAUUAUAUCGAAUAUAAAUUUAAUUAUCUAUAAUAUUAUUGAUAUACUGAACUAUCUAAAAUAGAAUAGAAAUUAAAAAAUAUUUUCUUUCAGGUAGCACUUGAUAAAAUUCAUUUUUUUCUGAAAGAAAUUUUAGAUAACAUGAAAAUCUGUACCAUACAACCUAAAGUACCUAAAUAUGAUUCACUUAGCUAUUUCAAUACUAUUCUCAUCCAAAUAUCUCAAUAUUUUUCCUAAAAAAAAAAUUGAAAGCGCGUUAUUCCCAUAGCCAUAUCAAGCUAUUUCAAUUCUAUUUCCAUCCGAAUAACUUAAUAUUUCUCAUUAAAAACGCUUUAUUCCCAUAGCCAUUUAGCUAUUUCAAUAAUCAACUAAUGCGAAAAACUCAAUAUUUCUCCAAAAAAAAAUUAAAAACGGGCUAUUCCCUUAGUAAAUUCGCAUUUUCUGCCUUUCUACUUCCUUCCUUCACAACACCUCUCUCUCUUCGAUAGUCCGCAGAGCGAAGCGAGUAGAAGCCACGUGAGGGCUAGUCCAUGUUAUUAUAGGUCUAUGAUCCAAUGCCCUUUGCAGGGCGAGUAACCAACUAUCUUCUACUUAAGCAAUGAUAUUACUCAUAAUUCUCCAAUAUGUAUUUAGGGUUGCAUACCCAAAUACCGUCGCUUUAAUAAUUUGGCUUUGUUCGUAUAAUUAUUUAAGUUUAUCAAAGUUGACAUUGAAUAAAUAAAUAAAUAAACUAAUUUAAAUACACGCAGUUUCUUUUCAGUUCUUCUGCGAGUUAUUGUCUGAACCGACUUUCUUUGAUUUUGUUUUAUUUUCUCUGUGGCUGUUCCACUGGUCAGCUUUAGGUUUUCAAAAUUUGCUUGAAUUAUCUUUUAUUAAAUUUCAUUUCAUAAGAAACGUAUAUAUUUAGAUAAUGUAUACAUUUCCUCUGCUAAUACUGAGAUGUAUCUACACAUGCUUUAUAGUUUGAAGUUAAUACAUAAUAUUAUGCGGGAAGUUGAAUUCUUUCACUCCUGACAAAAUCAGAGUAGCGCACUUAAUUCAGACCCACAUCACAUUCGAGGAGAACUUCAUUGUGACUCAGGGAGAGGGAGCUUUGAAAUUAAGACCAUGUUGUGUUCAUGUAAAACAGGAAAUAGCGGUAGAUAUAAACACAUUUCGGCUGUUUCAAUCAAGUGUACAAGGUGCAUCAUUUUACUAAUUCAAAAAGGCGUUAUUGUUCCAAGUUGAUUUUUAAUGAGAAUGAAUUAUGUGCUUAUUGUAUUUGUUCAUUUUCUGCAAUUUUUGUUUCGUUUUAGGGAAAAUCUUGAAGAUCUUGAGAUCAUUUCUCAAACAGAAAUGAAAUGUGUUUGGUCAGCUCAAAAUCACAUAACAAACGAAAAAUAUAAAGCUGUUCCCAUGAAAGACAUGCCAUAUUUUCAAAAUAAAAUUGAGCAGUGUGAAUUGGAAGUUGAUAACAAUAAAAUCUAUAAUUUUUUUAUAAGCCAAUUACCUGAAUCCGCAAUUUCUAAACCAUUGGAAGGAGAAGUUUCAGUCACAAAAUUUUGGAAAAAAAAGUUGGGCCUGACAAUAAUGAUCUUCAAGCAAUUUUGGACAAUGCAUGUCAGUCUAUUAUCAUUUUGGAUACUUCAAUUAUAUUAGUCUAUAAUGAAAAUGUUGCAAAAUAUUGUAUUCAGAACUGUUCAGUGAGGUUUCUGAUACAAUAAUCAACAUUUGUCAACAAUCUAAAGAGUGGCAUGAACAGAGGAAAAUUUACCUGUUAAUCUAUAUUUAAUAUAGAUUAACAGGUAAAAUUUUAUAUAAUUUUAUAUAAAAUGUAAAUUCAAUCGAAAUGUAAAUUACUGGCUGGAAGACUUCGGUCGAUAGCCAUUUGAUAUGUAACCAAUAAAGUUCUCUCUCUCUCUCUUUUA